rnacentral:rRNA from 1 species
CCUGGUUGAUCCUGCCAGUAGCAUAUGCUUGUCUCAAAGAUUAAGCCAUGCAUGUCUAAGUACACACGGGCGGUACAGUGAAACUGCGAAUGGCUCAUUAAAUCAGUUAUGGUUCCUUUGGUCGCUCCCCUCCCGUUACUUGGAUAACUGUGGUAAUUCUAGAGCUAAUACAUGCCGACGAGCGCCGACCUCCGGGACGCGUGCAUUUAUCAGACCAAAACCAACCCGGGCUCGCCGGCGGCUUUGGUGACUCUAGAUAACCUCGACCCAUUCGAAUGUCUGCCCUAUCAACUUCGAUGGUACUGUCUGUGCCUACCAUGGUGACCACGGGUAACGGGGAAUCAGGGUUCGAUUCCGGAGAGGGAGCCUGAGAAACGGCUACCACAUCCAAGGAAGGCAGCAGGCGCGCAAAUUACCCACUCCCGACCCGGGAGGUAGUGACGAAAAAUAACAAUACAGGACUCUUUCGAGGCCCUGUAAUUGGAAUGAGUCCACUUUAAAUCCUUUAACGAGGAUCCAUUGGAGGGCAAGUCUGGUGCCAGCAGCCGCGGUAAUUCCAGCUCCAAUAGCGUAUAUUAAAGUUGCUGCAGUUAAAAAGCUCGUAGUUGGAUCUUGGGAUCGAGCUGGCGGUCCGCCGCGAGGCGAGCUACCGCCUGUCCCAGCCCCUGUCUCUCGGCGCCCCCUCGAUGCUCUUAACUGAGUGUCCCGCGGGGCCCGAAGCGUUUACUUUGAAAAAAUUAGAGUGUUCAAAGCAGGCGCGCAAAUUACCUCCUCCUCCGCCGCUGCGCCGCCGCCGCCGGCCUCCGCGCUGCCUUCCGCGGCCCGCAGCUGUGCAGCACGCCCGCUGCUACUCCCACGGGUCACAGGAGUCAGAUGAAGAGUUUGAUGCCCGCUGGGUGACGUAUUUCAACAAACCAGACAUCGAUGCCCGGGAGCUAAGGAAAGGUGUAAACACGCUCGUGGGUUAUGAUUGGUUCCGGAACCAAAAUCAUUGAUGCAGCUCUGAGGGCGUGCAGACGGUUAAAUGACUUUGCCAGCGCAGUCCGCAUUCUGGAGGUGGUGAAGGACAAGGCAGGCCCGCACAAGGAAAUCUAUCCCUAUGUUAUCCAGGAACUUAGACUAACUUUGAGUGAACUAGGAAUCUCCACUCCAGAGGAACUGGGCCUGGACAAAGCAUAAACAUUGUUGGUGCGUUACCGGAGCAUUCUGCCAAUGCUGCCCGAUUGUACACAGUCGCCUCAAGUCAGAAAUGUUCAAGUAUCACCUUAUUUCAAAUAACUUUAUUGAAUUGCAAUGUAUGUGAUGUGGAGUUGGACUUAAUAAAGGAAAACCU